CGACAGUUGUCAUGGUGGUGCAAGCACAGUAGAUUGCAUCAGUGAAAUCCAUUCCUUCGACUGUAACCAGGACGAAGAUCCCAAUGACGAAAUGCACCGCCAUGGCAAUCAACGAUAUCACGCACUUGGUGUAGUCUAUUUUCAGGUUCUCGAUCUCCUUCAGGGCUUCAAUCGGACCCAGUUUUUUAGACAGGUGCAGGGCGUUAACCAGCACCAUCUGCUGCUUCACGACCAAGUAACUUGCAGCUAUUUUCACUACUAUCCCGACCAGGCACAUUCCCACGGUUAUGAAAAUGCUGCAGAUGAGUUGGGAGACGAAACUGUGAGGAACGAGGUCGCCAUAGCCGACCGUGGUCAUUGUCACCACGCAUAGGUAAAGAGAAUCGAUAAAAUCGUUCGUUUUCUUCCCUCUGAUGUGGUCCUUGAGUGCGUAAAAGCUUGUCGUGCCGACACCUAUGUAGAUACCAAAGUAGAUCCCCAGCCACUUCAGGUCCGGGCAAUCUGUCCGAAAAGUGAUCGGAGGGGUGCAAUUUGCAGCUGCGGGAGUGGUUUUGCAACUCUGAGAGCUUGUUUUCUCGGGAGCAUUUUCAUCAUUUGUUAAGGUUGGAGAGCCUGCAGCGAUUGGCAGCUUGGCCUUCUUUGCAGCAUUGGAGGCCAUUGCAAUGAUUGAGUUGAAGUGACCCAUCAUUUAGCCCACCUGCUACAACCAUCACAACAUAGAAUUCAUAGUUAUAAUACUUGAUUGUAAACACGUACAUAAUUUCAGACAGCUAGAAAAUAGAAGAAAUCUAGAUAUUGAAAGUAUAGCAAAUACCAGGAAAUGGCUCAAUAGACAAAGUGUUAAAAUAGAAAUCUGGUACCAAGCUUGGGUUCUUCACUAACAAUGCUGAGAAGAAGGCCUUGGGAAGUUUUCAGCGGGAGGGAGAGGAGACUUACCAGAGGGAAGCUAGUAGGAAAUUCAAUAUAAAGUGCUUACAAGUAGAGUGAAUUUGGGUUCCAACCACAUUGGAAAGUUCCUGGAAGAUUCCAAGCUGAUGUCUUUUUCUGUUGCAAGACUUUGAUUUUGCAGCUUGAAGUGAAAAGGGCUUUGUCUAUUUUUUUGCUUAAAGUGCCAGAUUAUGGGAAGUUUCGCAUGGAGAUCCAAAAAUGCGAAAUUUCAAUAGUUCAUGAGAGCCUUGAUGAGUCUAUGCCAAGUCGACAUGUUUGAUCUUAAUUAUACAAAAUAUGAUUGAAAUCUACAAGCUUAUUUUUGUAAGCAGCAGAUAUUAGCUACAAGAAUAAAAGCUGAUGAGAGUACAUUCAGAUUAUUUUCAUAUUUGUUUCCAGGAUUUACUGUAGUUUUUACCCUGUAGAUUUCAAUGGAUCUUUUUGGCCUGAAAAUGCAGAAAACAAAGUUGAUUCUUCAUCACAAUUGCUGGGAAUUGUUGCAUUUCGUCGCAGUUGAUGCCACAAAUUGAUAUACAGAACUGUUUUUGAUAUAUUGCUUUUGAUAUUUGAGCAUGAAAUGGCUUGCCAUCUAAGUUUAGAACUUGUUUACAUAACAAGGUUUUCAAUAUUUACCUUGAAAUGAAAGAAACAUCUUAUUAUAUAAACAGAUAAAGAGUUCAAUGUCAAUAACCAUUCUUCCUUAUUGUAAUCUAACAAUUUACAAUUAUGAUACUAUUAAACUACGAUACCAUUACGAUACUAUUAAGUCAAGUUUCCAGAACAGAGGAAUCACAGUGUGCAGUGGCUUAGAACAAGUUUCUGGUCCAUCCUGAAAGAUUAAUGCUUCUACGAAUCCAAAAGGAAAAUCAAACUGUUGAUGUUUCUGUUAGUUCCUAGCUCAGCAAAAAUAUGUAUAUUGACAGAGGGAAAAGAAGUUCAAUACAACUUGUUUAUAUCCGAUUAGUCAUUCGAAUUACAGAUUUGGUGAAUAGCUCUAAGAUUAUUCACCUCGUUCCGCAAUAGAUGCUGGCUAAUGAUAACAUUUUUUUUAUCUGUAUAUGGUUUCUAUGACCUCCUAGUUUCAACUGAUUGAGCUAGAUUUAUAUCAGAUGCAGACAAGGUUCCCGACUGAUCAACAUCAAGUUCCUCGAAUUCCUCCAUGAUAAGUGAAAUAUCAUCUUGGCAAAUCUUCCCCAUCUCUUUAAGUUUGAAAAGAACAAACUCAGCAGCUCUGUAGAAAUGAAGCAAAGAAAAAGUGAAAGCUGUUAAUAAGCCGCUAACACCUGUGUAAAGAAAAGAAGAUUAUGAUGGAACUGCAGAUCACAGAAUCUUAGCUCAUAAUCUGCAAAUCUCUUACCCAACAACACCAUCAUCAUCAAGAUCAGCUGCCUCCAAAUCCACAUUUGUCAUUCUUCGGCUAAGAACCCACUUCACCAGUGCUCUUUGUCUCUUCUCUGUAUUUAGCUCGGCAAUGUAGAUGAAAAACUGAGCCAAGCAAAUAGUACCAGCUAGGAUCCAAAAUACAGCAAAAAUACGCCCCUCUUCGGUUGAAAAGCUUUUAUCCCCAUAGCCUAAGGUUGUGAUGGUAGAACAAACGCAAUAGAAUGCAUCGAUUAGAUCUAAAUUCUCAACUUUUGAUAGGAAGAUCGUACCGGUUAAUAUAAGCACAAUGAGCAGGAUCAAGGCCAUAUAAAACUUGUAUUUCAUCCUGUUGUUUUCAAUCUCCUUUAGAAUCUCAAGUUGACCAACUUUUUGAUGCAUAUGUAAGGCUUUAACCAGCAAUGUUUCUUGCUUCUCUACCAAGUAAUCUGCAGCUUUGGUCAGUACAAGUCCAAUCAGAGCCAUUCCUGUGAAGACGAAAGCACAGGCUAGUAGUUUUGUAAGGUUGCUGUUAGGAACCAGGUCUCCAUAUCCAACAGUUGUCAUUGUAACAACACAGAAAUAAACAGCAUCAAGAAUCCCAUUUGUUUUUUCCCCUCUGAUUUGGUUCCUGACCAUAUAGAAGCAAAUGGUGCCUACACCUAAGUAUACUGUCAAGAAUAUGGCUACCUUCUUAAAACUUGGGUGAAGACUCCCGAAAACGGACUCGGAACGUGGAAGUGAAGCAUUGCCAUUGACACCACAAGGACCAAACUCGGCUAACGGAGCACUUCUAACACGUCUAAGUCUUCUUAUCCUUGGUGCAUCCCCAUUACUCUUUUGAGUUGUCGAAGUUGCUGAUCCUGAUAGCAAGGGCUGGUUUGCACCAUUACAGGCCAUUAGGAAGAUUCAGCAGACAUAGAUCACUACCAGGAGCCCUGCAAUAACCAGAUACAUAGAUUUCAAAUCAACCAAGCUCUCAAAUUAUGUAAAUAGCUCAAUUGUUUGCAAACAAACAGGAAUCGAAAAUGUGCAUCUGGCAUUAGGAAGUACAAGGCUACCAGCCUUUAAAUGAAAAAAGGGAGUCAGUGAAACACUGAAACCAACCCAGCAGCAUGGCUCUUUGAUCUGCUAAUUAUCAUGUGAUCUUUUCUUGUUUUUUUGUUUAGAAGUCGAUCUACUCAGCCUCCAAAUUCUGAAGUUUCAUGCAAUUACAAAUAACAUUUAGGAUUUAACUGAAUUCAUCCCAAUUCAGCUGCUGUUCUUAACCCAAAUCCUCUUUAAAUCCAUGAGGAGUAGAAGCAUCCAAAAAAAAAAAAAGAUGUAUUCGAACCAAGCCACUACCAACCUCAACAGUCAAACUUUAGAACAUUAUCUGCAUUGAAGCCAAUGUUUGGUCCCGAAAACUAUGAACUUUACACAUGUUCUGUCCAUGGCCAAGAUCUGUAAGAUCUUUAUAAAGACCCUUAGUAAAAAGUAUCAAAGACCCUUUACUCAGAAUCAACAAAAAAACUGCCAGAGGCCGAUAUAGAGAGCUAUGCGUAUAGAACAGGUUUUGAUGAAAGUUCAUAAUGAGCUUAGAAUUAUAGCUGAAGAUAAAGAUCUAAACUUCAAAGUCAUUGGAUCACUGAAAGAUGGAUUCCAACCAAGCAACAACUACAAUGUCAAUCUUAAUAACAUUAUCUAGCCAAACUAUGAACUUUUCACAUGUUCUGUCCAUGGCCAAGAUCUGUAAGAUCUUUAUAAAGACCCUUAGUGAAAAGUAUCAAAUUGAAUAUUAUGAUAAGAGAAGAUCUAAAUUCUCUAAAGACACUAGUACGAUUGAUAUUCUUUUUGAUGGAAAUCAUCACUUCUUUUGGGAUGAAUCCGACUGAUGAUCAACAUCAAGGUCCUUGAUCACAAUAUCAAUAUCCUUCAUGGCAAUUGAGAUAUCUUCUUGCUUGAUCUUUCCCAUCUCCUUCAGCUUGUAUAGAAUGUAAUCAGCAGCCCUAUAAAAAAACCGAAGAACAAAGGAUUCUGACACUGUUAGAUGAUUGUCUCUUAUGUAUAGCUUUGCUUCUUUGUGUACAAUUCACGAUCCUGAAUACAAGAGUUCUCUUGUCAUUUAUGGAAGCUAUAUAUGAGCAAAACCGGUUUCAUUUGAACAAGGAGAUCUUAGUAUCUUACCCAUAAACCUGGUCGUUUUCAGGAUUAUCAGCUGCUUCCAGGUCUUUCUUGGCAAUGAUGUUGUUAGUAAGAACCCACUUGACUAGUUUCUUGGUCUCGAUAUCUGUAUACACCUCUGCAAUGUAGAGAAGCAGCUGGCCUAAACAGGAAGUACCUGUGGCAAUCCAAACUAUACCAAACGUGCGUCCGAACUCACUGGAGAAGCUCUCAUCUCCGAACCCGACGGUUGUCAUAGUGGUGCAAGCACAGUAGACUGCAUCAGUGAAAUCCAUUCCUUCGACUGUAACCAGGACGAAGAUCCCAAUGACGAAAUGCACCGCCAUGGCAAUCAACGAUAUCAGGCACUUGGUGUAGUCUAUUUUCAGGUUCUCGAUCUCCUUCAGGGCUUCCAUCGGACCCAGUUUUUUAGACAGGUGCAGGGCGUUAACCAGCACCAUCUGCUGCUUCACGACCAAGUAACUUGCAGCUAUUUUCACUACUAUCCCGACCAGGCACAUUCCCACGGUUAUGAAAAUGCUGCAGAUGAGUUGGGAGACGAAACUGUGAGGAACGAGGUCGCCAUAGCCGACCGUGGUCAUUGUCACCACGCAUAG
rnacentral:lncRNA from 1 species